GGCUGCUGAUCUCUCAGCCUGAAAGAAGAGACUGACAUCCCCCAGGCUCCUGUUUCUGCGGCUUCCUGUUCUACCUGUGUUCUACUGUCUCUGGCCCUGACUUGGGAGCUCCAGGCUGAUCUCUGACCUCAGGUUCUGAUUGUUGUCUGCCUUGGCUUUCCAUUCGACCGACCGACCGACUGUGUGACUCUGGCCAAACCUCUUGCCUUUCCUGAGCCAGCAGGAUUCUUCUUCAAACAAGAGCCAACCUGAGAAGCCCAGGAUGGAUUUGUGACUAGCAAAGGUGGAAGGUGGCAAGGAAGGGGCUGAUGCUUGAGUCCCCUGUCCCCUGGUGGUGGCCCUGGACAGUCCUGCAGAUCCCUAGUUUUGAAGAACAUAGUUUGAAAGCCCACUUUCUUGAUUUUUUUCCAAAAUAUUUUUUUCCUCCA
ensembl:processed_transcript Gm13429 predicted gene 13429